rnacentral:rRNA from 1 species
AUUGAACGCUGGCGGCGUGCUUAACACAUGCAUGUCGAACGCGAAAGGGGCUUCGGCCCUGAGUAAAGUGGUGCACGGGUGAGUAACACGUGGAUAAUCUGCCCUUAUGAUCGGGAUAACAGUCGGAAACGGCUGCUAAUACCGGAUACGCUCAAAAUGAACUUUUUGGGGAAAGGUGACCUCUGCUUGCAAGUUACCGCAUGAGGAUGAGUCCGCGUCCCAUUAGCUUGUUGGUGGGGUAAUGGCCUACCAAGGCAACGAUGGGUAGCCGAUUUGCGAGGAUGAACGGCAACACUGGGACUUCAACACGGCCCAGACUCCUACGGGAGGCAGCAGUGGGGAAUAUUGCGCAAUGGGCGAAAGCCUGACGCAGCGACGCCGCGUGAGGGAUGAAGGUUUUCGGAUCGUAAACCUCUGUCAGAAGGGAGGAAACCGCACUGUGCUAAUCAGCGGUGCCUUGACGGUACCUUCAAAGGAAGCACCGGCUAACUCCGUGCCAGCCGCCGCCGUAA